rnacentral:snRNA from 1 species
GUGCUCACUUCAGCAGUACAUAUUCUAAAAUUGGAAUGAUACAGAGAAGAUUAGCAUGGAUGAUAUGUAAAUUCAUGAAACAUUCCAUAUUUUU